AUUGAACGCUGGCGGCAUGCUUUACACAUGCAAGUCGAACGGCAGCGCGGGCUUCGGCCUGGCGGCGAGUGGCGAACGGGUGAGUAAUACAUCGGAACGUGCCCAGGAGUGGGGGAUAGCCCGGCGAAAGCCGGAUUAAUACCGCAUACGACCUGAGGGUGAAAGCGGGGGAUCUUCGGACCUCCCGCUAUCGGAGCGGCCGAUGGCAGAUUAGCUAGUUGGUGGGGUAAAGGCCUACCAAGGCGACGAUCUGUAGCUGGUCUGAGAGGACGACCAGCCACACUGGGACUGAGACACGGCCCAGACUCCUACGGGAGGCAGCAGUGGGGAAUUUUGGACAAUGGGCGAAAGCCUGAUCCAGCAAUGCCGCGUGUGUGAUGAAGGCCUUCGGGUUGUAAAGCACUUUUGGCGGGAACGAAAAGGACUGUGCCAAUACCACGGUUCGAUGACGGUACCCGCAGAAUAAGCACCGGCUAACUACGUG
rnacentral:rRNA from 1 species